UGGUUCUUCUUCCCGGUCUCGGUCACGAUCCCGCUCUUUCUCCGGCUCAGAUUCCAAGUCCAGUUCUCGGUCUCGGUCCCGCUCUAGAUCUAUCAUCUUCCUCUCGUAGCGCCAGCUCUCGAAGUCGCAGCCCUCAUCAGCGCCGAAGUCAGGCUGAUGCUUCUAAGAGAGGUCGUUCCCCUCCUCCACAAUCUAAAAAGGCAUCUCCUGUUCCAAGGAAGACCUCUCCUAUCCGUGAGUCUCUGGUUCUUUAUGUUGAUUCACUGAGCAGGAAUGUUAAUGAAGGUCA